AACGAACGCUGGCGGCGUGCCUAACACAUGCAAGUCGUGCGAGAAAGUUCCUUCGGGAGCGGGUAAAGCGGCGCACGGGUGAGUAACACGUAGGUAACCUGCCCCCCAGUCUGGAACAACUAGAGGAAACUCUAGCUAAUGCCGGAUGAGACCACGAUCCCUUCGGGGGUUGCGGCCAAAGAUGGCCUCUACUUGUAAGCUAUCGCUGAGGGAUGGGCCUGCGGGCCAUUAGCUUGUUGGUGAGGUAACGGCUCACCAAGGCUGUGAUGGCUAGCUGGUCUGAGAGGAUGACCAGCCACACUGGGAGUGAGACACGGCCCAGACUCCUACGGGAGGCAGCAGUGGGGAAUAUUGCGCAAUGGGCGAAAGCCUGACGCAGCGACGCCGCGUGGGUGAUGAAGGCCUCGGUC
rnacentral:rRNA from 1 species